CCCCUCUCAGGAUUGCACCUGGAGAGUGUCCAGUAUUCUACCAGUCUCGACUAGGGGACAAAGAGUCAAGCAAGGGCCUACCCAUUCCAUUCCUAGCUUGGGCAGUGGCUAGUGAAUGGAAGACAAUCUGUUACCAGU